UGAACGCUGGCGGCGUGCCUAAUACAUGCAAGUCGAGCGAACAGACGCGGAGCUUGCUCCUCUGACGUUAGCGGCGGACGGGUGAGUAACACGUGGAUAACCUACCUAUAAGACUGGGAUAACUUCGGGAAACCGGAGCUAAUACCGGAUAAUAUAUUGAACCGCAUGGUUCAAUAGUGAAAGACGGUUUUGCUGUCACUUAUAGAUGGAUCCGCGCCGCAUUAGCUAGUUGGUAAGGUAACAGCUUACCAAGGCAACGAUGCGUAGCCGACCUGAGAGGGUGAUCGGCCACACUGGAACUGAGACACGGUCCAGACUCCUACGGGAGGCAGCAGUAGGGAAUCUUCCGCAAUGGGCGAAAGCCUGACGGAGCAACGCCGCGUGAGUGAUGAAGGUCUUCGGAUCGUAAAACUCUGUUAUUAGGGAAGAACAAAUGUGUAAGUAACUAUGCACGUCUUGACGGUACCUAAUCAGAAAGCCACGGCUAACUACGUG
rnacentral:rRNA from 1 species